rnacentral:rRNA from 1 species
GAGUUUGAUCGUGGCUCAGGAUGAACGCUGGCGGCGUGCCUAAUACAUGCAAGUCGUACGAACAGCGGAAAGUGCUUGCACUUUCCAAGUAAGUGGCGAACGGGUGAGUAACACGUGAAUAACCUACCUCAAAGUCUGGGGAUAACCAUUGGAAACAGUGACUAAUACCGGAUAAAACCUAGUAGCACAUGCUACAAGGUUAAAAGCUGCGUUUGCAGCGCUUUAAGAUGGAUUCGC